UGCCCCGUCGUCUAAUGGUAAGACAACGGAUUCUGAUUCCGUUUAUCGAGGUUCGAAUCCUCGCGGGGCAUCCA
rnacentral:tRNA from 2 species